rnacentral:rRNA from 1 species
GACGAACGCUGGCGGCGCGCCUAAUACAUGCAAGUCGAGCGAGAAGACGUAGCAAUACGUUUGUAAAGCGGCGAACGGGUGAGGAAUACAUGGGUAACCUACCCUCGAGUGGGGAAUAACUAGCCGAAAGGUUAGCUAAUACCGCGUACGCUUCUUGGACUUCGGUUCAGGGAGGAAAGCGAUGCCGAGGGUAUCGCGCUCUUGGAUGGGCUCAUGUCCUAUCAGCUUGUUGGUGAGGUAACGGCUCACCAAGGCUUCGACGGGUAGCUGGUCUGAGAGGACGAUCAGCCACACUGGCACUGCGACACGGGCCAGACUCCGUACGGGAGGCAGCAGUAAGGAAUAUUGCGCAAUGGGCGAAAGCCUGACGCAGCGACGCCGCGUGGGGGAUGAAGGUCUUCGGAUUGUAAACCCC